rnacentral:rRNA from 1 species
UACGGGGGGGUGCGAGCGUUGUCCGGAAUCACUGGGCGUAAAGGGCGCGUAGGUGGUUUGAUAAGGGUGUGGUGAAAGUCCGGGGCUCAACCCCGGAUCUGCCGUGCCGACUGUCAAACUCGAGGGCUGUAGAGGCAGACGGAAUUCCGGGUGUAGCGGUGGAAUGCGUAGAGAUCCGGAGGAAGACCGGUGGCGAAGGCGGUCUGCUGGGCAGUUUCUGACACUGAUGCGCGACAGCGUGGGGAGCAAACAGG